rnacentral:rRNA from 1 species
GUGUCAGCAGCCGCGGUAAGACAGAGGGUGCAAACGUUGCUCGGAAUCACUGGGCGUAAAGGGCGUGUAGGCGGGAAGGAAAGUCAGAUGUGAAAUCCCUGGGCUCAACCCAGGAACUGCAUUUGAAACUCCCUUUCUUGAGUGUCGGAGAGGAAAGUGGAAUUCCUGGUGUAGAGGUGAAAUUCGUAGAUAUCAGGAGGAACACCGGUGGCGAAGGCGGCUUUCUGGACGACAACUGACGCUGAGACGCGAAAGCGUGGGGAGCAAACAGGAUUAGAUACCCUGGUAGUCCACGCUGUAAACGAUGAACACUAGGUGUCGUGGGUAUUGACCCCCGCGGUGCCGCAGCUAACGCAUUAAGUGUUCCGCCUGGGAAGUACGGUCGCAAGACUAAA